rnacentral:misc_RNA from 1 species
UCCAGCGACCUUCAACGUAUCUCCACCUACUGAAACACCAACAUCACAUCACGCAAUCACCAGGUAUUAACACUGCAACGUCGGUAUCAAAAACACCAGAGCUGCAUUACUGCUAACAUCGGAACGACUUCAACAACUACACAGGCGUAUCUUCUGUAUGUUUCGUGAAGCGCAUUUCUCUACUCAAGAACUUCUUUCCUUCGUAGUCACAAAGAAGGUGUAUUGAAAAGUUUGGUGUAUUUUCACUCUUCUGGAGAAAUACAAGCAUAUUAGUAAACAAGAUUGAACUGAGUGGAUGGUACUGUGUUUUUUGGGCAGUCUGCGUGUUUUGGUAAUUUUCGGACAAGUCAAAGUCUGAAGGUGAAACCGAUUAGAGAACAAAGGACAGACAGCAUUGGACAGUUCUGGCAUUUAUGAAAAGUCCUGAUAUCUGUACAUUCUAUUGUGGUUAAUAGAAGAAAGUACUUACAAUAGAAGACAGGAAGGAGAGCAGAGAGAAGUUGUGUCCUUAAUGAACAGUCCUGAAAAGAAGUCCUCACAUAACCACCUAAAGUGUAGGGGCGGCGCUGCACCUCAGUGAAAGAUAUUUUUCUGUUACUCUUUCACGCUUUGCCACCCUUUCUAUCUUUCUCUUCCCCGUUCCAUCUUUAUUUAUUAAAAUUCAUCUUGUCUCCUUGCUGAAUCUCCUUAUAUCACUCCCUACCUCAUCCGUUCUCUCUUUCACACAAUUUCUUUCCCUUUCUGUCUCCCUCUAAUAAUCUCAAAGCCAAGAAUGUCCCUGUUUCUUUUUACCCGUCCUGCUGCAAUGGAUGUGCUGCUGUUAGCUCUUACAACAAUCCUGGCUGUCACCUCAGGUCAGAAAUGUGAUGACGCUUACUACAAUCGUUUGGGACCUGGUUAUUCCUAUGCUUAUAUUGGGACACCUCCAACAGAACGAUUCCCCACCGUAUCAAGUCUACUGGAAUGUGCCGGCAUCGCUCUACAGAGACAAUCAGAAUUCUUCACUUACAACAACGCCAGCCGUGUUUGUAAGAAUUACUCACCGAAAGAUAUAAUGACAGUCGUCAGCACCAAUGACAACAACGAGACUUCCUUCUAUAGAUAUAGCCGAUGGAUUAAAACAUAUGCCCUAUCUAUGGGAGCUGGUUCAAAAAUCUAUGAGUCAUUGUGGGCUGUAGGAAGUCCAUCAACUUGGAAUGUAGACAAAUGCAAUGGUAUCUACUGUCCGAACUUUUCCCGACACCCCCUUCUUGAUUUCUGGGAGCAUCUUCCAAUUGAUGAGGUGAAACUGGUCAUUUAUAAAAACCAAACAGCUGUGGUGACUUUGAUUUUUGAUGGACGAAAUUCAACAAUGGAUAACUGGUUCCUUCAUAAGAACUUGAAAAGUUCUCCAUGGAAUGACCUAUCUUCAACUCCAAUUUUUUUCGGACAAGGAGUAGCAAGUAGUGCAUAUCGAUUCACUAUAUCGAAUGAUGGUAAUUGUGGAACGUCUAGUGGCUGGCUACAAAUAAUUGAAUUUGAACUAUACUGUGCAUAUGCGCAACUGGUUCGUUUUCCUGCAAUUCAAUAUUCUGAUGCAAGCUCGAGAGUCAUCUGGUACGACGGUUUUGGAAUAGCAGACUCCAUGGCCAUAUUCAUCAGCCUGAAGCCGUAGAAAUAACCCAGUACAUGAUAUCCAUUGAUACUAUUGUUGUUGUUGUUUUUGUUCACAUUCACCCAAUCUAGCUGACCACCACUAGUGAUGCACACACGUCAAAUAUUACCUAUUAAUAAAGAAUCCAUAUAAAUAAUAUAUCC